AAGAGCUCCUAUCGACAAGCGGGUUUACGACCUCGAUGUUGGAUCAGGGUAUCCCAGUGGUGCAGCCGCUACUAAAGGUUCGUUUGUUCAACGAUUAAAACCCUACGUGAUCUGAGUUCAGACCGGAGUAAUCCAGGUCAGUUUCUAUCUAUAAAGGGCUUUUUCUAGUACGAAAGGACCGAAAAAACACGGCCUAUGCUUAGUGCAAGCCGAAUUCACUAAUUUAUGACUUAAACUUAAUAAACAAUCAACCUACAACCAAGCUCUAGACAAGAGU
rnacentral:rRNA from 1 species